UACGUAGGGGGGCAAGCGUUUGUCCGGGAAUCAUUGGGGCGUAAAGAGCGUGUAGGCGGCCCGAUAAGUCCGCUGUGAAAGUCCAGGGCUCAACCCCGGGAGGCGGGUGGAUACUGGCCAGCUCGAGUCCGGAAGAGGAGUGUGGAAUUCCUGGUGUAGCGGUGAAAGUGCGCAGAUAUCAGGAGGAACACCGGUGGCGAAGGCGGGGUCUCUGGGCCGAUACUGACGCUGAGGAGCGAAAGCGUGGGGAGCAAACAGG
rnacentral:rRNA from 1 species